GAUGAACGCUGGCGGCGUGCCUAAUACAUGCAAGUCGAGCGAACGGACGAGAAGCUUGCUUCUCUGAUGUUAGCUGCGGACGGGUGAGUAACACGUGGAUAACCUACCUAUAAGACUGGGAUAACUUCGGGAAACCGGAGCUAAUACCGGAUAAUAUUUUGAACCGCAUGGUUCAAAAGUUAAAGACGGUCUUGCUGUCACUUAUAGAUGGAUCCGCGCUGCAUUAGCUAGUUGGUAAGGUAACGGCUUACCAAGGCAACGAUGCAUAGCCGACCUGAGAGGGUGAUCGGCGACACUGGAACUGAGACACGGUCCUGACUCCUACGGGAGGCAGCAGUAGCGAAUCUUCCGCAAUGGGCGAAAGCCUGACGGAGCAACGCCGCGUGAGUGAUGAAGGUCUUCGGAUCGUAAAACUCUGUUAUUAGGGAAGAACAUAUGUGUAAGUAACUGUGCACAUCUUGACGGUACCUAAUCAGAAAGCCACGGCUAACUAAGUG
rnacentral:rRNA from 1 species